AACGAACGCUGGCGGCAUGCCUAACACAUGCAAGUCGAACGAGUACCUUCGGGUGCUAGUGGCGCACGGGUGAGUAACGCGUGGGAACCUGCCUUUCGGUACGGGAUAACGUCGGGAAACUGACGCUAAUACCGUAUAUGUCUUUGGAUGACAGAUUUAUCGCCGGAAGAGGGGCCCGCGUCUGAUUAGGUAGUUGGUGAGGUAACGGCUCACCAAGCCUUCGAUCAGUAGCUGGUCUGAGAGGAUGAUCAGCCACACUGGGACUGAGACACGGCCCAGACUCCUACGGGAGGCAGCAGUGGGGAAUAUUGGACAAUGGGCGCAAGCCUGAUCCAGCAAUGCCGCGUGAGUGAUGAAGGCCUUCGGGUUGUAAAGCUCUUUUGCCUGCGACGAUGAUGACGGUAGCAGGAGAAUAAGCCCCGGCUAACUUCGUGCCAGCAGCCGCAGUAA
rnacentral:rRNA from 1 species